rnacentral:rRNA from 1 species
AGUGAACGCUGGCGGUAGGCCUAACACAUGCAAGUCGAACGGCAGCACAGGAGAGCUUGCUCUCUGGGUGGCGAGUGGCGGACGGGUGAGGAAUACAUCGGAAUCUACCUUUUUCGUGGGGGAUAACGUAGGGAAACUUACGCUAAUACCGCAUACGACCUACGGGUGAAAGUGGGGGCACCGCAAGGCCUCACGCGAUUAGAUGAGCCGAUGUCCGAUUAGCUAGUUGGCGGGGUAAUGGCCCACCAAGGCGACGAUCGGUAGCUGGUCUGAGAGGAUGAUCAGCCACACUGGAACUGAGACACGGUCCAGACUCCUACGGGGAGGCAGCAGUGGGGAAUAUUGGACAAUGGGCGCAAGCCUGAUCCAGCCAUACCGCGUGGGUGAAGAAGGCCUCGGUUGUAAAGCCCUUUGUUGGAAAUGAAGUCCUGUCGAUUAAUACUCGGUGGGGAAUGACGGUACCCAAAGAAUAAGCACCGGCUAACUUCGUGCCAGCAGCCGCGGUAAUACGAAGGGUGCAAGCGUUACUCGGAAUU